ACCUUUCAAAUCAGGGUGCGGCGCGGCCCCCGAGGAGCGGAAACAAUCCUUGGGAGGUAUGCGGGGGCUUCGAGCCCCCCAUUUACGCACGCACGACUGCCAUCCUUACUUUACGAGCACCUUCUGUUCUCCCUCGGCGGGGCAACCUGCCGUUGGAACCGAAUGAACUCUUUUUGCAUCUAGCAUUACCUGUUCCGAAACAAACAAUCGUUA
rnacentral:misc_RNA from 1 species